UUAUGGUUCAGGAUGAACGCUGGCGGCGUGCUUAACACAUGCAAGUCGAACGGGGUACCCAUGAUUGAGGCUUCGGCCGAUUGAUUGGACUACCUAGUGGCGGACGGGUGCGUAACACGUGAGUAACCUGCCCUUCAGAGGGGGACAACAGUUGGAAACGACUGCUAAUACCGCAUAAUAUGUAGCUAUCGCAUGGUAGUUACAUCAAAGAUUUUAUCGCUGAAGGAUGGACUCGCGGCCGAUUAGCUAGUUGGUGGGGUAACGGCCUACCAAGGCGACGAUCGGUAGCCGGACUGAGAGGUUGACCGGCCACAUUGGGACUGAGACACGGCCCAGACUCCUACGGGAGGCAGCAGUGGGGAAUAUUGCACAAUGGGCGCAAGCCCUGAUGCAGCAACGCCGCGUUAAGGAUGAAGGUUUUCGGAUCGUAAACUUAUGUCUUCAGGGACGAAAUUUGACGGUACCUGAGGAGGAAGCCACGGCUAACUACGUGCCAGCCGCGGC
rnacentral:rRNA from 1 species